UGGGGAAUUUUGGACAAUGGGGGAAACCCUGAUCCAGCCAUCCCGCGUGUGCGAUGAAGGCCUUCGGGUUGUAAAGCACUUUUUGCAGGAAAGAAACGUCAUGGGUUAAUACCCCGUGAAACUGCCGGUACCUGCAGAAUAAGCACCGGCUAACUACGUGCCAGCAGCCGCGGUAAUACGUUGGGUGCAAGCGUUAAUCGGAAUUACUGGGCGUAAAGCGUGCGCAGGCGGUUCGGAAAGAAAGAUGUGAAAUCCCAGAGCUCAACUUUGGAACUGCAUUUUUAACUACCGGGCUAGAGUGUGUCAGAGGGAGGUGGAAUUCCGCGUGUAGCAGUGAAAUGCGUAGGUAUGCGGAGGAACACCGGUGGCGAAGGCAGCCUCCUGGGAUAACACUGACGCUCAUGCACGAAAGCGUGGGGAGCAAACAGG
rnacentral:rRNA from 1 species